AUGCCCCCCCCCACAGUCUCUCCGAUUCUUGUUCCAAAGGAUCAGCCAAGUGAACGUUUUCAAAAAGGAGAAGAGCAGCAGCCGGCCCUCUCUGAGAGAACCGAGCUCACCAGUGACAGGACUGCCACGACCAAGAACAUGAGUAAAGAUGAAGUCAUUGAAAAACUGAAAAGUUGUGUAAAGCGGCAGGACCCAGCGUUCAGAAAGCACUUCCUGGAUGUGAGCAAGGACCUUCGUGGGAAGAUCAGCAUGCACGACUUCAAGAAGGUACUGGAGGACAACGGGUUGCCCAUGGAUGAGGUGCAGUACACUCUGCUGGCUACAAAAAUCGGUUAUAAGAAGGAGGGGAUGAGCUAUCUGGACUUUGUGACAGGAUUCGAAGAUACUAAAACGAAUGGCCCGGUUGCAACUCCACCUCAGACUCUGGUUUCUUCAAAAAGUCACUUGAAUGGCCACUUUAUAACUGCUGAAGAAUGCCUGAAACUUUUCCCCAAGAGACUGAAGGAGUCAUUCCAGGAAUUUCAAAAUCUGUGUGAGAAGAGGUCCCCCCAAAUGGACGAGGCACCCCAAAGACUCAUUAGAUAAGGAGACAGUGGGAAUCAGCAUCUUCUACGCACACUGCUGGAACAUCCGAAGGGUUAAAGCCGUUCUUUUCUGUUUCUCUGGGUCUAAGAAAAUCCACAUCGGCCUAUGCAUUCAAGGUAAAGCAAACCAGAAAAGCACAUCCCUGGCUCCCCACCCAAAGCACUGUCUUAUCUGUCACGGGGUGUCCCGCCUGCCUGUGCACACUCAUCUUUCUGUCUGUUAAUCUGAUGUCAGCUCUAUAUGCUUUCUUGUUUUCAAUACUAGGGAUUGAGCCCAGGGUCUCCUCACUGAGCUACAUUCCUAGCCCUUUUUAAAUUCAAUUUUUUCUUUUUUUUGAAAGACAGUCUCACUAAGGCACUACGUUGCCAGGCUGGGCUGGAACUUGCGAUCCUCCUGCCUCAGCCUCC
rnacentral:lncRNA from 1 species